rnacentral:rRNA from 1 species
AUGACAGAAGAAUCCGACCACCCAGCGCUAAUUAUUAAGGCCGCGACGGCACUGGCCGACUCGCGAGCUACGGGAUCGAGGCCGUUUAUUUAUGAGGCUGCAUGGGCGCGUCAUGAUGGAUACGAAGGGAUGGUGGCCGCUGCAUGGGCUGCAGCCUGCGAAGCCAAUCAGCAAGGCGGGGCGUUGAGUGGUACAUGCACAAGACUGCAGGAAACGACAAGGGCCAUGCAACAGUGGAGUCGAAGGGUUUUUGGGUCUAUCAAAAAGCAGAUUUGCCACCUUAAGGGGCAGCUAGUGGAUGCGAAGGAACGAGCUGCAUGGACGGGCUGUCGACAGGAGGUCAAGGAUAUUGAAGAUCAGCUUCAUGAGCUCUACGAGAGAGAAGAGGCUGAUGGAAGGAGAUCAAAAUACGAAAUAUUUCCAAAAUCGUGCGUCGCAUCGCAAACCGAAGAACACAGUUAA